AGAAAUUAUACUUUUUUAAAUUAUAAAAUAUUAAAUGUUAAAUUAUAAUUGUCUGUAAUAAGAACAUUGCACAUGUCGAAGAAAGGAGAGAAUUGUGGAACAUUAUUUCGUUUCUUCAUUAGUAUAGUAAAUAUUAAUACAAUUCUAACCAACGCCAUAGAGUUUUACCAACCACUUUUUAGGUAAAAGUUUAUUGGAUAUAUAGCCCAAACGUUUUACAAUUUACUGAAAAAGGGGGAAAAUGCGUUUUUAUGGAAUGUAAGGAGUCGCGGAAUACUAACUAAUAUCAUGAAAAAGUAUGUUUAUUUAUAAAAACAAACACAAAUUAAUGAGCAUUCAUAGACUUUACACAUAAAUAUGUACCAUAGAACAAAAUUUUAAGAACAUUUCAUACAAUAUAUUUUAUUUAAAAGAAAAUGUUUUUUUAUACAUUUUUAUUUAAAAAAUCUAUCAAAUAAAACUCAAUACUUCUAAAAUAAUUUCUUUGCUUCUAAUAAACAUUAUACAGUCUCUACCAUGAGAUUGUAAAGUCACAAGAGAGUUGAAUGUGACGAACAACUAUAUUCUACAAUCAUAGCUUACAUAUACCAUGAUUUUAUUUGCUACAUUUGUACACGCACAUUGCAACGCAUUAAAUUCAAUAAUAUUUUUAAAAAUACAUUCAUGGCCUUUAAGUUAGACUAGAGUUAAAAAUUAUUAUGUAACAUUUUUCUUAAAAUUAUGUAGAGAAAUUUACACCUGUAAAAAGUUCUGCUAACUGCAAAAUUAAAAUUUAGUUUUCAUAAACAUACAGCGAAUGCCAAUGGUCAGUAAACAUCCUACAAUGUGUAAAGACUAUAAAGAAAAAAUUUUAACGGUUGCUCGUAGAAUUGAACAUGACGUAUAUAAGACAUCACGAUAUUGAAUCACCGCAUAUAUCUUCCACAAUCACCGUUCUUCUUCUAUUUAUGUAUUAACGUCAUAUUAUAUUAAGAAUUUUUUAUACUUAUUGUAAUAUUAAAAUCCUUAAUUAUUUAUUAUAGCUAAUAAAGUAUUCAGAUGACAUAAGAAUUCUUAAAAGAUUUGCAAUGAGUUCAGCUAAAAGAGUUCCUUCUACUUUUCAAAAAGUAUCACAAAAUAAUUUAUUUUGUUAUGCCGAGUACAACAGAGAAUGUCAGUAAAAACGAAUUUAUAUAACAAUUCAUGAAAAGUUUAAUAAUGUAAAAAAAAUUGUUUUAUAUCCUUUUGGAAUUGGGCAGUAAACUUAUUUGAUUAAAAAAGUAUUUAUUUUAAUAUUGCAAAGAAGGGUUUUCUCGACGUUAGAUAAAAUAAGAAUGUCCUUGAAAGUAAAAAAAAUAAUCGGAAAUAUAUUUUCUCAGAAAUAUUUUUUUAGAAAUUUCUAAGCUGUUGGUCAUCUAAACGUAUUGGUAACGUUGCAUGACUUCUGCGUGCACAGAAACUGCUACCUAAGUAAUGAUCCGUAAUCACCUUAUGUUAAUACAUGUAUAAGAGUGAUUGCUUACUUCAAUAUAUGACGUUAUAAACAUAAAACAUGUAAUUAUGCUCUGUGGUUUUGUCCGUAUGGACAAUUAUACUGUAGUAGUGUUCCUGCUACACUUUAUCACCAACAGUUUAGAAUAGGCGCCGAAAAACGAAAGGUGGCGCCCUUGAUCGGAUACUCGCGCCUUCAGUCUCCUACGGUUCUAUUCCGUUCCGCCAUAUCAUUGUUUUUCUGUUGCACGCAACCAACAGUUAGUUCGUUUCUCUAUUAGAUUAUUUUGCAGUGAAUUAUUGUUCUCAAUAUGUCUAAACAUAAGCAUAGGCAUCGUUAUUGUUCUGUGAGACGAUCAGGGAAACGAGAUUCAAGAAAUUCAUCGAGAGAUCCCGUCUAUCUGACAGAUCUCGACGCAUCCUUAAUAGAGGUUAACUCACGCGCCUCAUGCGGGGACUCCCCUGCCCCCUCAUCUCAACGUGAUGAGUUGACUUCGGCACUCAGGGAGAUCCUCGUUUUUAUGAAAGAGUACACCACUCCGAGGAUUCCUGAAAUAGACGCUUUGGGUCAUAUCCAGGACGUCGUACCAGAGGACAUCGUACCGGGAAACAUUGUUGCGAAGGACAUAGUAACAGGACACGUCAUGGCCGAGGACACUGAUCCUUCCCUGUUGGAAGAGCUACAAAUCUCUCAUACAGAGGUUAACGGGCAGGCAGAUAGGCAGACGGUUCUUCAGAACCGGGGCGGCGAACCAGUUUGCUUCGACCCAGAGGUAAUUAUUGCGAGCUCGCUAGAUAUAGAUAAAGAAAAUGACGCUUCUUUGAUAAACGAAUUGUUCGGAGAGCAUCCAGUUUCAAAUGAGUCUCCCUGGGACUCUACGGUUUUCAAAUUUACUAAAGGUGAAGUUCGCUCAGGUCUGAAAGAAGAGCUGCGUACAAAUCUGCUCUCAAAAUUCGAAAUUAAAGGAAGUUUAGCAGAUAUCGCACCCCCUAAGUUAAACAACGAAAUAAGGUCGGCGUUGUCAAAACAUCAUAGCGUCUUAAAGCGGGACGAAUACUAAUGUAAAACUCAGUUACAGGUAGGCGCUUGCCUCAACGUUUUCGGCUCAGGAAUUUCAAAUAUCUUGAAAGCCUAUCAAGGCCGACCUUUGCAGCCGAAUGUAAAAUCUGCUAUUGCAAAAUUGGCGGAUGACAUCCACCUACUGGCGGACCACCAGUAUAGGCUGUCCCUAGCUAGACAAUCAGUCAUCAAGCCAUAUCUGACAUUUGUAGGGAAGUCAGCAGCCGAUCAAUCCGCAGUUGACGAAUGGCUCUUUGGCUCGACUUUUGCAGAAGGUUUGAAGUCAGCCCAAGCUUGUGAAAAAGCAGGCAAGGACCUAUCGAGGUUUUCUUCAGGAUCUAGUGCAUUGACUAAAACAGGCUAUCAACUUAGUCAACAACAGCCAACAAAGGAGCUCCUAACCUAUAAGGGAAACCGCAAAGCCCCUGUGUCGAAACAAGCACCCACGGUUCGCAGCACAGUGGCCAGAACGAAGUCGGACCGAUCCCGCAGCACUCGCCACCGAUCUCGCUCCCGGACACGAUCUCACCGUUAGAAGAAUUUGUGCAGAUAAUUUAUGCAGAUAUUGAAGCACAAAGAGUGCUACGUAGAGAUAUUGCAGAAUGUGCAAGAACAUUACCAAAAUGCGUAAAUCAACCAGAUGAUCCGUUAGCUAGAGUCGAU